rnacentral:piRNA from 1 species
UAUGCGGUGCUGGGAAUGGAACCUGAAGC